rnacentral:pre_miRNA from 1 species
AAAUCUCAGCUGGCAACUGUGAGUCAUUCACUAGCUACUCUCACAAUGGCCUCUGGGAUUAUG